ACGAACGCUGGCGGCUGCUUAACACAUGCAAGUCGAACGAGUGGCGAACGGGUGAGUAACGCGUGAGCAACCUGCCUAUGACAGUGGGAUAGCCUCGGGAAACCGGGAUUAAUACCGCAUAGUCAUAGAUGGGCUCGCGUCUGAUUAGCUAGUUGGUGAGAUAACAGCCCACCAAGGCGACGAUCAGUAGCCGGUCUGAGAGGAUGAACGGCCACAUUGGAACGGAGACACGGUCCAAACUCCUACGGGAGGGAGCAGUGGGGAAUAUUGCACAAUGGGGGAAACCCUGAUGCAGCGACGCCGCGUGAACGAAGAAGGUAUUCGUAUCGUAAAGUUCUGUCCUAUGGGAAGCAGUACCAUAGAAGAAAGCUCCGGCUAAAUACGUGCCAGCAGCCGCGGUAAUAC
rnacentral:rRNA from 1 species